GGACUACACGGGUUUCUAAUCCUGUUUGCUCCCCACGCUUUCGCACCUGAGCGUCAGUCUUCGUCCAGGGGGCCGCCUUCGCCACCGGUAUUCCUCCAGAUCUCUACGCAUUUCACCGCUACACCUGGAAUUCUACCCCCCUCUACGAGACUCAAGCUUGCCAGUAUCAGAUGCAGUUCCCAGGUUGAGCCCGGGGAUUUCACAUCUGACUUAACAAACCGCCUGCGUGCGCUUUACGCCCAGUAAUUCCGAUUAACGCUUGCACCCUCCGUAUUACCGCGGCGGCUGACAC
rnacentral:misc_RNA from 1 species